AGUGAACGCUGGCGGUAGGCCUAACACAUGCAAGUCGAACGGCAGCACAGUAAGAGCUUGCUCUUACGGGUGGCGAGUGGCGGACGGGUGAGGAAUACAUCUGAAUCUACUUUUUCGGGGGGGAUAACGUAGGGAAACUUACGCUAAUACCGCAUACGACCUACGGGUGGAAGCAGGGGAUCUUCGGACCUUGCGCGAUUGAAUGAGCCGAUGUCGGAUUAGCUAGUUGGCGGGGUAAAGGCCCACCAAGGCGACGAUCCGUAGCUGGUCUGAGAGGAUGAUCCGCCACACUGGAACUGAGACACGGUCCAGACUCCUACGGGAGGCAGCAGUGGGGAAUAUUGGACAAUGGGCGCAAGCCUGAUCCAGCCAUACCGCGUGGGUGAAGAAGGCCUUCGGGUUGUAAAGCCCUUUUGUUGGGAAAGAAAAGCAGCAGGUUAAUCCCCCGCUGUUCUGACGGUACCCAAAGAAUAAGCACCGGCUAACUUCGUG
rnacentral:rRNA from 1 species